GCCCACCUAGUUCAGUAGGUAGAGCAUGAGACUCUUAAUGUCAGGGUCAUGGGUUUGAGCCCCAUGUUGCUCA
rnacentral:tRNA from 1 species